rnacentral:rRNA from 1 species
AUUGAACGCUGGCGGCAGGCCUAACACAUGCAAGUCGAACGAGUGGCGGACGGGUGAGUAAUGUCUGGGAAACUGCCUGAUGGAGGGGGAUAACUACUGGAAACGGUAGCUAAUACCGCAUACCAUCAGAUGUGCCCAGAUGGGAUUAGCUUGUUGGUGGGGUAACGGCUCACCAGGGCGACGCUCCCUAGCUGGUCUGAGAGGAUGACCAGCCACAAUGAAACGGAGCCACGGACUAGACUCCUACGGGAGGCAGCAGUGGGGAAUAUUGCAAAAUGGGCGCAAGGCUGAUGCAGCCAUGCCGCUGGUAUGAAGAAGGCCUUCGGGUUGGAAAAUACGUUCAGGGGGGAGGCUUUACCCGCAGAAGAAGCACCGGCUAACUCCGUGCCAGCAGCCGCGGUAAUUC